UAGGGAAUCUUCGGCAAUGGACGAAAGCCUGACCGAGCAACGCCGCGUGAGUGAAGAAGGUUUUUGGAUCGUAAAACUCUGUUGUUAGAGAAGAACAAGGACGUUAGUAACUGAACGUCCCCUGACGGUAUCUAACCAGAAAGCCACGGCUAACUACGUGCCAGCAGCCGCGGUAAUACGUAGGUGGCAAGCUUUGUCCGGAGUUAUUGGGCGUAAAGCGAGCGCAGGCGGUUUCUUAAGUCUGCUGUGAAAGCCCCAGGCUCAACCGGGAAGGGGCAGUGGAAACUGGUAGACUAGAGUGCAGAAGAGGUGAAGGGAAUUCCAUGUGUAGCGGUGAAAUGCGUAGAUAUAUGGAGGAACACCAGUGGCGAAGGCGGCUCUCUGGUCUGUAACUGACGCUGAGGCUCGAAAGCGUGGGGAGCAAACAGG
rnacentral:rRNA from 1 species